rnacentral:rRNA from 1 species
UACGAAGGGGGCUAGCGUUGUUCGGAAUUACUGGGCGUAAAGCGCACGUAGGCGGCUUUGUAAGUUAGAGGUGAAAGCCCGGGGCUCAACUCCGGAACUGCCUUUAAGACUGCAUCGCUUGAAUCCGGGAGAGGUGAGUGGAAUUCCGAGUGUAGAGGUGAAAUUCGUAGAUAUUCGGAAGAACACCAGUGGCGAAGGCGGCUCACUGGACCGGUAUUGACGCUGAGGUGCGAAAGCGUGGGGAGCAAACAGG